GGCAGAUUCACUUGCUGCGUCAAACUACCUCUGCCGGGCAGAUUAAGUGUGUGUGUGUGUGUGUGUGUGCAUGUGUUUGUUUGUGUGUGUAGGGGGCUUUAGUGGAAGUGCUCAAACAAGCCGCUCAAAGGGGGCCGAGGGGGCUCUCGCCAGAUCCAUUCAAGGAUUACACCCUCGUAUCUCCUCCCAUCUCCGCUACUGAAAAGCGGCGAGAUGCUGGGCUUUGCGUCAGCCAUUUCACAGCUGAGGUGUCGCCCGUCUAUUUUCCUCCGCGCGCAGAGGCACUACUGCUGGGAAUGCAAGACGAGGCAGCGACGUGGCAAACGGGCCGGGGCCACCGACACGCUUGAGGUCGGCCGCCGUGUCACGCUCGCGAGCAAGAAUUCUUUGAUCCGGUAUAAAGCUCCAGGCGGAGAAGCUACCCGAUGCGAUUAAGCAAAAGGAAUCAUAGCAGACACCAGCGCUAACACAUCGUGUCCUGGCUGGUCCACCAGCCAUGAAGAGGAGCAACCCAGGAGCAAAAAUAAUAAUAAUAAUAAAAGAAUUAAA